CAGCCGCCGCGGGAAUACGAAGGGGGCUAGCGUUGUUCGGAAUUACUGGGCGUAAAGCGCACGUAGGCGGAUAUUUAAGUCAGGGGUGAAAUCCCAGAGCUCAACUCUGGAACUGCCUUUGAUACUGGGUAUCUUGAGUAUGGAAGAGGUAAGUGGAAUUCCGAGUGUAGAGGUGAAAUUCGUAGAUAUUCGGAGGAACACCAGUGGCGAAGGCGGCUUACUGGUCCAUUACUGACGCUGAGGUGCGAAAGCGUGGGGAGCAAACAGGAUUAGAGACCCCGGUAGUCCCUGUCUCUUAUAA
rnacentral:rRNA from 1 species